rnacentral:rRNA from 4 species
UCGUUAGUAACGGCGAGUGAACGCGAUACAGUCCAAACCGAAGCCUUCGGGCAAUGUGGUGUACGGACU